AUUUGUAUAGCAUGUGUGGGAGCCAAGUUACAUUUAUAUAUUUUUUAGUUGAUAAAGAAGCGCAGUCUGUAUUUUGUUUAAUGUAUUUUGUUUAAUUGUUGAAUGUAAGCAUAAUACUUUUAAUACAAGAACUCUGUGAACUCUGUGAAGUUAAAACGGUGACGUAGGUUACCGUCACUUUAAGAGAAUUAGGACUGGAUUCGUAAAAAACGUUGUGCUGUUGCAGCUCAAUUAGCUACCGAGCCACACGGUUUUCUUACCGUAGUACGAUCUUGGAGAACUUAACUUUGAAUACUCCUGUAGGAAGAUAAUGCAAACUGUGGAAUAAAAUUACUUGUUCUAUCUUUUACUACAUCGGAGUCCUGUGGAAGUUUUUCCAACGCAAGUUGACGUACACGAGUUAAGCCAAGGCAAACGAGGAGCUGCAGCCCCCACAGCAUGCAUUGAUGAAAAAACAUCGUGGCUCUAAUAUUUUGGGUCAUCUUGCUAGGUUACCACAACAAAAAAUGAUCAGGCAAUGUAACAUUGUCAAGUCAUUGGAAACAGGUAUCAUAACGUUCGUUCAAAACGUAGCUAUAGCGUAUCAACUACUACUAGCAUUGAUCUGACGUUUCUGUGUAUAAUUUAUACACUGUUAGCUACGUUUAGCUAGCUAGCUACAAUCAAUUUAGUUAGCUAAUUGUUCAUAACUAUUGAAGGCUUGUUACUGGUCAGCUAGCUAUUAGCUAUCGCUUAUCAUGAGUUUGUUACCUGAAACAAAGUCAGUGCUACACCUAUUCGACCACCUUUGUUCGACAGACAGGAAAACGUUAACUGAUUUGCAACUAUAUAUGAAAUAGGUGAAAUAUCGGUAACAACCUGUACCUAGUUAAGUAGGAAAAAAUGUCCUUGUUGUCAUCCCGUGGUUAUUUUUUCAACACUUUCACAAUUUUUCUGUGCCAGCAAAUAAGUCAGAGGUGGUCCAGCGCUAGCUUUUGGCUGCUAAGGGGACGUGUAUCCACAACCCUAUGAAUUGUACUUAACAUAAAUUUGCUAGCAUACUGUAUAAGUGUCCUGUCUUGCGUAUUUGAGGUUAAUAUGAGAAAGGGCGGUCGCUAUCAGCACGUCUAGGAAUCCGUACACAUUCACUGUUGUAACUCAAGUGGCAGGACGCAAAAUAGCCGUUGGGAAAGCAGUUUGAAAGUAUGAAUCAGCGUCUGCGCCAUUGGCUUUAAUGGGUCACAAUGAGAUAAUUACGAGCGUGUUGCUUGUCUUAAAGUUGAUAUAGUAAAUAAGGCUGUAUUAGUAUUACUAAAUGUGUAUGUGUGAAGUUGGUUUAUUUAUUUGAACAGUUUAUGUGUAAUUUUACAGGACUUACAUUUUAACAGGUAAUGAUGUCCAGUUAUUUCUCAAAAAUACGAAGUAACAAUGGGCAAGCACCAGCUAUAAUAAUAUAGCAGGGAUUCAAGCAAUUCGUUUCACAAUUCCCUAGUGGGGUUACAAAGUUAAAUAAUGCAUUUUUACAAAUUUUCGAAAUGGCAUUUGUUCCAGGUUGCACCCCACAGCACAACAACCUGAGCCCAACGUCAGUCUGCUCAUCAGGUUAACUUUCACUCCGUUUGUAAUCGGUGCCAUAUUAACCAGUAAACACAAACCCAAUAAUAAACAAACACAGACCGGAAGUUUAUUUAGGGCCAAGUGCAUAACCUUGGCAACGCGCGUGCGUCCGAUGAAAGCGUCUAUAUAGGGAAUAUGGGACGCAGCCAUUGUUAUGGCCGUUCGUAUAUUGAACAUCGCGAGGUAUUGACUUUUUCCACUCAUUACUUAAGGAUUUAGAAGCAACUUUGUUUAUAAAAAUGUCCUAUGUUAUUUCCUAACCACGUUUCCUUGACCUCGAUGGAAAACGUAAUGAGGUCAAGGAAAGAUGUGACGGAUAAUUUAUAAGGACUUAGGAAAAGACAACCGUCGUGCUAAGAGAAUCCGACUGCACUUACACUAGUCUACGUAAUUAUCCGACAGCGGGUGUUAUUGACGUGAUCUGCCGUGGUGAAACUACAAUGUUCCGAAGAUGGACUACAAAAGCGCAUAUUAGGUGCAUGUGCUCUCUCCACCAGCCGGCGCAGCCAACUGCUACGCACCUCCACCAUGAGAAUUCAGCUGACGGCUAAUUCGGCUUACGCCAAGACCGCCCCCUCCCGGGUUUCGGCAUACUCAUAUUGAUUUCACGACCCAAUAGAAAUUUUUACAAAAAAUGCCAUGUCCAAUUUAUUCAUACCCCUUGAAAUUGUCGCAUUUGAAAGUGAAAAUGCAAGCUUCAAUACCUUUCCGUAUGGUCCUGGUAAUUUCUACUAUGUUCUUGAGUAUUCUGAUCAACUAUAAAUUGAGAUCAGCUGAUGCAGUUGUUCUCUAGUUCGUUUCUAGUCAUUUGCAAAUCGUGGCUAAAACUAUGUGAUUUCAUGGUCUGUAUUUUGCCAACUGUGCGUCAACUCUUUCACUCCUUGCAUUUUUUUACUGUUGCUUCAGGCCCUUGCUCCAGGAUGCCUUUUCUGCUUUCUGAGUGCCAUAACAAUCAGACGAGUCUUUUUCUUCACUUGCACUCAAACGGUUAUAAAUUGGUUAUAACAUCCUUGGCUAUGUUUUUAGCAGUUGAGGCUGAGGCUUGGCUAUGCUUAAUCCUUUCUUUAGCAGCGGCAUUGCCAACCAAAAUACGCUGUUAAAUACACUUUGGCACAUACCUUGCAUAAAUACCACCCUGCAAUCCAGGCAGACCACAGCUUGCGCAAUAUAAUAAUCAUAAUAUCUGGUGGAUUAUUAUCAUCAUAUAAAUGAGAUAAAGCCAACAGUAGCAUAACGGAAUGCCAGUACAGCGAUGAAAAUAGGGAAAUUAUAAUUAUAACCGGCCAUUUUACUAUAAAUAUCUAUGACCAAAUAUGUACAUACAACCAACCUGCACGUAGAGAUGUCGCUUUCAAGAUUGAGUGAUGACCGACAAUCCGUUUGUGAAAUAUACUCAUUUGUGACACUUUGGUAACAACACAUACUGUUUACGGAAUUGUUGCUCUGUUUAGUACAUUUAGGCUUGAUCGAUUAUUAUUUUACCCAGUAACUGACAGUAUUAGCUUUCUAACAAUGUAUGACAUGUCUAAUUUGACUUUUGAAAUAGCGAUUUAUAGUCCGGCAUAACCAAAAGUAUUGUCUUAUGCAUUCAACUGCUGCAUUAGCGGUAAAAAGACGAGACGAGCACUUGCCGAGACGUUUUCGCAACGUAACAUUACAUACAGAAAAAGGGGGGGAAGUACAUACAAGAACGAAUGAUUCCACAUUUAAAGCCACUGUAUGACCAAAUGUAUCUAGACACUCCUUGGUCUGGGGCUGUUUUUCAUGGUUUGGGCCCCUUGUUCCAGUAAAAGUGAAUACUAAUACUGCAGAUCACAAUCACAUUCUCGACAGUUACUAACCCUAUCCCUAACCCUAACCCUUUCCCCUUCAGGCAUGAUUAUGCCCCCUGAGCACACAUUUGAGUCCAUACAGAAAUGGUUUUGUCAAGAAUUGUGUGGAAUAACUUGACCUGCCUGCACAGAGCCCUGACCUCAACUCCAUCCAACACCUGUGGGAUUAAUUGGAAAGACAGAUGCAAGGCAGGGGGGCAUCACUCCAGUCAGUGCUCAUCCUCACCAAUUCUCUUCUGGAUAAAAGGAAGAAAAAUGUAAUAAAAGAUUUUAAUGCUUUAUUAGACAAAACGCUAUGGCUAUAUUUUGGACCCCUGUACUGUCAUUCUCACUUGAAAAUGAUGCAAAAUUGAGUUUCUUGAGCCAAAACAGUUGAUUUGUUUGUGUAUUAUUGUAAAUCACAACAAUUUAAAUAUUUUGGAUAGAUUUGGAGACACCAAGGUACACUGGUUGAAGCAAAAAAUAGUGAUUUUGCUUUAUAGAUCUCUAGUAGUUCAGUAGUUCAGAUUUUUGCACACUAGUGUGCAAUGAGUUUAUGAUCCUGGACAUUUCUAAUUUUAAGUGUUUUAUUUUUGGGAUCUCAGUAUUUCAUUUCAAGAUAAAAAAAGAACUUCAUUUUAAGAAUUUUCACCAAGGUAAUCACAUUUGUGCCACUUUAUUUCUCCCUGUAUUGGAUAUAAACUAAUGUUAGUAUAGUAAAUAGUACAAAUGCCUUAUUAGUACAAACUUCAUUUUUGUUGUGUGUUUGUCUAUAUUUGGUUAAAUAUUUUACCAUAAUUUUAAGUAACAUAAUAAAGAUGACACUGUUGAAAACCA